AAAUCACGUGGUUCCUAAGGUGAUUGUUUGUUGGUCGAUUAGAACCCGAUAAGAAAGAAUUAUUUUCUUACAUGUUUAUUUGGGUGACCCUGCAUAUACCUCUUUUGCGAAUACACAAAAUCCUUGUGUAUCAUUGCACUAAAAGAGGGAAACAGUUAUAGAGAGUAUAUAAUAUCUGAAGUAUUGUAGGUUUUUGGGUGAAUAUUGGCUUUAUUAUUACAUCUGUUAUGCCUGUCAAUGGAGCCUUUUGCAAUUGAUGCCAAUGAUAAUAAAAAAUUAAAGAGUCUACCACUGUUUUCGUGGUCACAUGAUAUACUACCUCUUUGUGUAAGCUCUACAUCUUGGAAGUUUAAACAUGCAUGGUUGGCUAAUAACAGUGUAUUUUGGAAAUUUGAUACACUUAUUUGAACCUAUAGCUCUAUGCAGAAUACAUUUUGGAAGUUCAGAAAUGCAUGCUUGGCUAAUAACAGUGUCUUUGGAAGUUUGAUAUACAUAUCUGAACCUGCAGCAUUUCAUUCUAGGAUUCAAGCAUAUGCUUGCGCUGCUCCGCCCGUUCAACGAGCAGUUUGGGUCUCUAACAGAUGGAUCACAUCUUGCUUUCUGAGAUACAUGAAUAGAGCAAGCAGUGGACUAUCUAUGCCCUUGUUUCUUGCAUGUGGCGCUAUCGUGGAGGGAUGGAGGGACCGUCAAAGGCCCCAUCAGGGAAACCACGUAUAUGGUCAGAUACCUCCAGAAGCCUACAAGAUGUACUAAAAGAGGGCGAGAUCUAUGUUAUAAAGAAGUUCACGUGUAACCCAUAAAACCCUGCUUCCAGGCUUGUAUAAAUAACUUCAGCUCUACGAGGAAUAGUGGAAAAGGAAAUUUAGUAGAGUAGCUGUCAUUCAUUCACUGAAAAUAUUAUCGACUGCAAUGAUAUAGGUAUAUAAACCAAGAUUCAAACCGAACAUUUUUGUCUCCCUGCUCACAAUAUGUACAAACAAACCUAAAUUUCAUAGUUUAAACCCUGCCUUGAUUCUGCCAUUUGCGCGAUAGCGCUUGAAUGAUUCCACUGAACACUAAUUACCAACGCUACCGUAAUAAUAUUAUUGUAACUAUUAUUAAGCUCAUUAGUAAGAUCAUUAUAAAAUUGUUGAUGUUUAAGAGGAUUUGCUGCUGUUUUUGCAGCUUUGUCAUGGAUCUAAGCAAAAAGAAGAGUCUCGGGAAGGUGAUUUGGAGGAAGGAGGCGACCAGUACUGGUCAAAACUAUUGUGUUGGAGGAGGGUGAAUUUGCCAUCUAUAAUUUUGUAUUUAGUUUAGUUCGGCGACACCCCUUGCUGAUGGUUUGAUCUUUCACUUUGUUGCUUUUCGACCGUCCAAUCUCACUGUUUGACGAAAACUUUUUUCACACCGAUGGUUAGUUUGGUAGAAUAGGUGCAUUGAAUCCAUAUGUUGUCCUGUGGGUUAGAAGAUGCUUAUGAGAGACUUUACUGUGUUUCUCUAUGCCUAUUUAUUUUGGCACUAUUAGGAUAGCUGCUUACUGCGGACAUGUAGAAUGAAACUUCCAGUUGCCUAUCAUGUAGGGAUUUUGAGGUAUUAUUUUGUGCUAUUGAUGAUAAUCCACUGUAUUACAAUUAAUCUGUGUUGUAGAAGCUUUAGCUGAUCUGGUUUUGUAUCUUUCGAAAUAGAUUUGAAGAGGUUGCACAUAUUCUGUUUUAGGUACUUAUAGCAAAUACAGAGUGGACCAAUAUUCGAAAAGAGCACAAGACUUGAGGAUUUGAGCAUGCUUGUAGGCCAGAAGCAUCACCUUCAGACUUCGUCACUUGUUGACAAUCUAAAAUUGACCCUGAACUGAUAUGGGCACUUGCUAAGCAAGACGUCAAAGACCAAAUACGUAUGCCACUAUUGAUUUGCAUAUCACAGCAGACACAAAACACUUGCAGGCUAAAAUAAUAGGCCAAGCCUAGGACUUGGCCUUUUGGUCAUAUGAUGUUGCAAAGCUGAGCAACAUCAUUUCUUUUAGUUAGUUUCUCAAGAUCCACCUUUUUCUUUCCCGACCCUUUGGGAUCAGAAUUUUGGCCACUGCAAACCUUCUGCAUUCCUCUGAUUAAUUAGUGCUGGGCAAGAUUUAAAAAGUUCUCUCACAGAUUUUAUUUUAGUUUGCAUGUGCUUUGCCCCUCGGAUCUUGUGACCAUGAUGUGGGUAAGCUCAAGGCUCAUCUGGUGUUUCCCAGUUGAGUAGCUGGGCUGCCUCGUGCAUUCAUGUCACAUAUUUUGAUUUUGAUAUAUGCUAAAUUGGUAUCUUCCUGCUAUAUUGAGCUCAACAACUUAUCUAGGUUAGAUAUGCUUUUAAACUGGGAUGUUUGGUGCAUCAUACUUAAGUAGUUUACUGAAUGGUACUAAUUGUUCAGAUCAGUAUAGUAUCUCAUCCUUUGUUUUUGGGUUUUGCUCCAGGUUGUCCCCUUAGUUCUUCUGUUAGCUGCUCUUAGAUGAGGCCUUCAAGCCCCAAAUAUCUCUCUCACACACUCAGUCCCUCUGUUUGUUUUCCUGAGGUGAGGUCUUCAAGCCCCUCUUAUGUUCUUGCAUCCGGCUGUGCCAUUUUUGCCUCGCUUUUAAAUUUCCCUUAGAUAAUCUUACCAUUACUUUCAAGGUUUUUACAAAUAUUGUUGGGAAACAUGCCUUAAGCUUUGACUGUCGAAUUCAGCAUGUUGAUUUUGAGCUCUGGCUACUAAAUUCACAAAAUUGAUUUUCAGGCAUUGACUUCUCAACAAAGGUAUUUUAUUUUACCCUUUUCUGUAUCGUGGAUGGUUACCUAAAUUUUGUUGGGUGUAUGUUCUCUGUACAAAAAAGUGCUUCGGAGGUCACGCUUACUCCUUCGGGUGGAUGCCGCAGCAGCGGCUCCCCCUCCCCCUUCUCUUCAUAUCUGUCUAAUGGGUAAGUCGAUCACUCCUAUUGUCCAGAUUGGAAAUGCCAUAUAUACACCUCACAGUAAGCUGCUGCACCACAUAGUGUCUACCUUGUCUGUUAAUGCUCAAGGUUUUCCAUGCUACCCAGUGCUAGAGUAGUUCUUGCUUGUGUAUUGUUCUAUUUAUGCAUCUCAAAGCAAUGUGAAACUGGUAUCUUUUGCUGAUAUACAUCUUCCUUAAACAUAAAGCAUUAAUUUUAAAGUUCAACAAGUGGCUACUAAGCUUUUCUUCAGUUCUGAAUGUUGUGGAAAAAUAUAGAGCAGAGAUGGCAUUGUCUAGGUGGUCCAAGCACUUCAUAUUCAUCCAGUCGGAAGAAAAUUCAUGCUAAUUAGUUGCAGGAUCGGUUUCUAUUUUCAGCAGAUCACCCUAACCCGUAAUAAUCUCUACAAGGAAAACCGAAGUGCAGAUCACCUACCACAGCCUUUUAAUUACCUUACUACAUGGCUAACAAUCAAAUUUAUUAAAUGGGCAAUCUGCGACUUCUAGCUAAUCUUUUAUGCAGAGCACAAUAUAGUCUUCUUUGGUUAUUCAAAGUUUAAUGCUUGGCCUUUUAACAGGGUUAAAAUGAUAGACCACUCACUCUUCACUAAUUCUGUGACAUGUCACUUCCACUUAGAUCAAAGCAUCCAUACAAAUCACUUGGAGGUUAAGCAAUACAAUCUCUACAUAAUACGCAGUACACAAAAAAUUAGUUGAUCUGUUUUUGUUUCUAUGAUGACCUUCUGAAUGUAUAAUACUUUUUUUUCAUAAACCAGUUACCAGUCCUAACUAGAGACAAAUGUUGAACUUUUGAAUGGUUUAAAAGGUACUACCUCUGGACAGAAUUAAUUGACGCAGCAACCCACUAAUCACAUGCGUGAGCAAGUCUCCCUCCGCGUCAAUUAAAUCCGACCGGAGGGAGUAUUAUAAAAAGCACCAGGUCUUGAGCAAAAUGGAGAUUUCAGGCUUGAGUAGGUAAAUGAACGUGUCUUUUUUUCCAGUUCCGAUUGAACCGUCGAGUACAGUACCAUCCUUCUGGUUGCAUCUCCUUGCGUGAGCUCAUUCCUCCCAAACUUUGCCGCUAAUUUUGGGCUCAGCUUUUGAGCAGUUCUUGAUUUAUUAGUUACUUGCUUAAUGUGGGACCUAAGUAUGUUGUCCUUUUCUGUUGUAAAUUCUUCACCUGUUCAAGUCUAAUAGUUAAAACAAUCGAAUAAUUUCUACAGUUCUUGUGGUGAACUGGUCAACCGAAAGAUAGGCCAGCAAAGGCUGCACACAAAAAAAUACAGUUUAGAACUUGGAUGCUUGAGUGGGAACAAGGCCCUCCUCUAAAUAUUAAUUGUCUAUUUGUGCUUCACCUCGAGUUAUUGUAAUGCAUAGAUGUAUAUUCCUUUUUUUACAUUCAUUAGUGCUACUAAUGUACUGAUAUAAUUUAUAUAUUUCUGGAAAACAUAGGCCGGAGCCAGGGUGGUCGUAGCAAUCUGAAAGGCAAGGGGGUGGGAAGACCAUCGUCUUUCCUUCAGGCACAGGCUGCAGUGGCCUCCCUGUCGUCCCAAUGAGCCGCCUGGUCAGCCUUGAAGACUUGACUGACUUUGUUGGCUCUGUUGCCACAAAUUCAAUUAAGCGCCGCUCGCCUCUGGCUGCUUUGGCGGUCGGGUGUGACCUGGCCGUUCUGGCUCAGCCGUGGUGCUACCAUAAUACCAUCUUGAACACAGGCAUAUGACUCGACUUUUGGACUGGUUGCUACAAUUGAAAUAAUUGGGCUUCUUAUGCCUUCCCUUUACAUAAGGUGCUAUAUCUGGCUUAAUAUCAGAGGAACUGCCAGUAAUAAUGAUGUAUAGUGAUCUUGGUAUGCAAGUAUGAUCAGGACCAUUUGGCAUGGCCUGCGCGCAUUUGUUCUUUGCUUCUUAGUGAUGCUCCUGGUGUAUUCUUAUUGAAGGAAACGACACU